rnacentral:antisense_RNA from 1 species
CUUGACCGAGCCCAGCCACAACGGCUCGUCCCGCUCCUGCCCGUACGCGGUCAGCAGCGCCUGCACCUC